UGAAUUCAAAUAAUAAUUAAAAUAAGAAAAAAUAGGGUUUGCUGCUAUCUCCAAACUACAUAACCUGGCUUGAAUAUUUAGCAAAAUAUAAUAGAGAAACACCAGUUUCAGGCUUACAAUGAUUUUUAAGUCCUAGUUACCGCUGCAAUCACAUGUAAAAUGACUAAACUUGCGGCCCUGUGAACACAAGAUCUUCAAUUAGCUCUCCAUCCUUUAGCCUUCAUCUGGAUAAGGGAGUAUAUAAACCCUUCUCAGAAGAAAUCAUGUGCUUGAGUCCUUCACUAGCUAGCUAAUGAGCGAAACCCCCGCUGACCAGGCCAUGCGAUUCUCCAUUGCCCAUGUAGAAGAGGACGUCACAGUUGACCGGAUCUAACUAAAAGGGGAGGAAAAACCAAAGUGCAUCCGGAUCUUGGAAAACAUUUGCUAGGUACUCUCUUUUCUUUUUACAGAAAAUACACACACACACACACACACACACAAAUAUAUGCUUUCUGUUCUUUCGAUCCCCUUCAUGUAUAUAAGCACUUACCAUGAUCCAUUGAUCCAAGAAAAUAGGUUUAGUUCAUAACAAAAUCUUAGAAUACAAUAAAAUUAGACAACAAAAUCCAAAAAAAUGGGUAAAACAACACUACUUCACCUGAUCUUUCUCCGAGCUUGCAAAAAAUUAAAGAUGGGUUUUCUUUUCCGUAGAAUCAAAGCAUUAGAGGCUUCUGUCGAGGAGAGAUGAAGCUCGCUGCCCCGAAUUACAUGGCAUCGGCACCAUCUCACCCACGACAGAAGUCCCGACGCUUUGAUAUUUCGAUCUCGCUUUUAGUACGGUUUUUUGGAUCCACUGGCUAGAUCUCUUCUCCGGAAUCCUCAUGCUGCAGCUUUUUAUAUAGGCAUGAAAGAGCCAGUAUGGUAUUUCUUCAUUUUCAUUUUUUAUUUUAACAAAGUGCAACUGGUACUAUAAAUAACUAUUAUUCGUACAUUAUAAACUCCAAAUUUCUCUCUCACAAACAAUGAUUAAGGCCUCAUGGUCAUGGAUAAAGGACACAAAAUAUAAUAUACAAUACAUAUUUAGUACAGCUUUGGAUAUAAAUAUAUAUUAUAAAAUGUAACAAAUAUAUAAACUUAUAUUUAGGCAGGGGUUGUCCUUGGGUGAAUAAAUUUAUUUUUUCAUAAAAAUAUAUAUAUAAACUAAGUCAUCAUAUGAUCUCAGCAGCAGACCUAGCCCUAAGCUCAUACAUGUGAGUUGAUGAAUUAUUCAUGAAAUUUGUCAACGCAAAACAGUUGUGAGAUGAAAUCGAUCUGCAAAACUAGUAUUAUUAGUUGAUUAGUAAUCUCUUAACGUAGUCUGAAUGAUAAAUUAGUACUGCAAUAUAUAUGAGAUCACCAAGAAUUCCAUCAUCUAAUCAUACCAACUUAUUAUAUUUACAGCUCCAAAUAGAAGGAAUCUUUUAUUAUUAAUCCACGUUUUAGUGCGGUUAGAUCAAUCGUCAGAUUAUGAUAAUCAUGAUAGGCCUGUUUUAAUUAACAAUGUAUAUAUGGCUUCUGCAGUAGAUACCUAGCUAAAACAAUCAUAUCUUGACAAAGUCAAGCUUAAGUAAUUGAGAGUAUAUUAAUCAAAAAAUUAAUCUACAAACAUAAGAUAAAAAUCAUGUUGAAAAAAAAAAGCUAAAAUGUCGUCACGUUAAUAUUUGCUUGAUCUAUUUAAGUUAUGGAGUGUGGUUCUGGAAAUCAAUGGAGUUUACAGACCCUAAUAUUAAGGCCUUACCCAAAAUAAGAAGUCGCAAAAUGUGAAGACCAAAAAGAACCCAAUUAACAUAUCCUUAUAUACAGAGACUACAGCCUUCAGAAGUUGUAGGAUAUCUGAUCGUCACCAACUUAAAGGCCAGCAGCAAGGCGUCAGUGCCAUUCUUCCUGACAAGGGUCCUCAACUACUAUACAUAAUUUCUCUUUGAAGUUUAAACCUUGCCUUCCAAUCCUCGUACUCUCUCGUUUUUACAUUUAGGAUGGUGCUAUCCAUUUUAUAUUACUUUUUUACUUUUUAUCCAUCCCUUUCAAUUUUUAACAAUCAGUUCAAAUUAAUCGAAAAAAAUCAAAUAAUAGAAAUUAACAAAUAGUGAGUAAGAGAUAAAAAUAAUUAUGUGAAUGAAAUAGCAAGUAGGAGAAAUUGAUUGGGCAUCGAUUUAUACAUUAACAAGUCGUUGAGUAGAAAGUUGUGUGGUGCAAUUCCUGUAAACAAAGUAGGAAAGCAAACCCUACAUAUCUUUCGGCUAUCCCCGUCCAUUCCACCAUAUAUUUUUAUUUAUUUACUGAGAAAGUAAAUUAUUAGCAGAAUUACACAGAUAAUGAUAGCUUCUAGAUGGAGAGAUCGAUCAGCUCCAGAAGGCACAUCCACCCUAUAUUUAUAGUUAGGUUAGUGGAAUAUGUUAGCUUCCCUGCAAACACAUGCAUUUGGAGGAGUCGUUCCUUUCACACGUGAAAUUUCCAGAUUAUAAAAUUUGCCUCGGAGAAACGAGACAAGCUUUCAACUUGCUUCAUCAUUUUUAAUCACAUGGACUGCGACAUGACCUUUUUUUUUUUGACAAUUUGACUGAUGACAAAAAGAACGAAGAAAGGAGGACAAGUUUAUUGGAACGUGGACAACGAGGAUGAAAAAUUAAAGUAGCAACCUUAUGGCACAUAAAGUAGUUUUAUAAUUACUAGAACUAAAAAUUGGUCACAAAAGAGAUCAAACUUAACGGGAAAAGUGCAAAUGGCUUGUUAGCAAGUUAAUUGAGUUUGUUCGACAAAUAAAAAAAAAUUUAAAAAAAAAAAAAAAAACGUUAAUUGAGUUUGUUGCAUUCACAUUAAUUAGCAAGACAAAAGUAUUUGGAGAACUAACAAAGAUAAGGAAAAAAAUCAUGAAAUUUAAUAAGAUCAUGACUAUGAAUAAGCAAGUAAUAUAUAUAUAUAUAUAUAUAUAUGGAUGCAAAUAUUGAAGAUGGAGCCAACUUACCAAUAUACCAUUUUUUUUUCUCUUUGGAUUCUUGUUAGAUGACCAUUUAGAGAAAGAUCAAAAGUGCAGAAGUUGUGUAGAGAUUUUUGGUCACAGGAGAGAUGGCAACAACUAUUGGCGCAAUUGCGGUACAGUUAGUGCCAUCUCUCCUGCGAACAUAAAUCCCCCAACCUUUCUUAAUUCCGUCACUUCUCUAGAGGAGGAUGGAACAUGCUGUUAGCUAGAGCACAACUUGUACCAUCUCUCCUGCGACAAGAGUCCCUCAACCUCUUUUAUCUCUUCUUUGUUUCUCUAUACAAUGUGUUAAUGCUCUACGACCUUAGAUAGCCCCCAUAUUUAUAGCCAUCAAGCUAGGCCGAUGUUUCUCUAUGUACUCGGAGAAUGUUAGGUUUAUCAACAAUGUAAGGAAAUUACCUGUACAUUUCCAUGAAGUUUACUUUUAA